GCCUUCUUGGCGCAGUUGGUUAGCGCGUCAGUCUCAUAAUCUGAAGGUCGUGAGUUCGAGCCUCACAGAGGGCA
rfam:Oikopleura dioica, whole genome shotgun assembly, reference scaffold set, scaffold scaffold_307